rnacentral:rRNA from 1 species
AUUGAACGCUAGCGGGAUGCCUUACACAUGCAAGUCGAACGGCAGCGCGGACUUCGGUCUGGCGGCGAGUGGCGAACGGGUGAGUAAUGUAUCGGAACGUGCCCAGUAGCGGGGGAUAACUACUCGAAAGAGUAGCUAAUACCGCAUACGCCCUACGGGGGAAAGGGGGGGAUCGCAAGACCUCUCACUAUUGGAGCGGCCGAUAUCGGAUUAGCUAGUUGGUGAGGUAAAGGCUCACCAAGGCGACGAUCCGUAGCUGGUUUGAGAGGACGACCAGCCACACUGGGACUGAGACACGGCCCAGACUCCUACGGGAGGCAGCAGUGGGGAAUUUUGGACAAUGGGGGCAACCCUGAUCCAGCCAUUCCGCGUGUGCGAUGAAGACCUUCGGGUUGUAAAGCACUUUUGGCAGGAAAGAAAUCGCACGGAUUAAUACUCUGUGUGGAUGACGGUACCUGCAGAAUAAGCACCGGCUAACUACGUGCCAGCAGCCGCCGCAG